rnacentral:antisense_RNA from 1 species
GAAAUUGUCGUCUUCCGCGGCCAGCAGGGCGCGGAUGAAGUCCGGCGGAAUGUCGGCGAAACGCACCGGAGAGCGGCGCAUCUCGCCGAACUCCGCGAUUAGCUUGCCGUCGCUGCUGUACACGCGCAGCGGGAUCUGUAGCUGGAUUCGGCGCAGCGAAUCAACAGACGGCAGGCUGGGGCUAAGAUAGAGGUAAGCGCCGCUGAAACUGAGCAAUAGGCCACAGAAAACGGCAACGAAGGACCACCAGAAAAACUUCAGCAGGCGAAUCAAGGCGUGUGGAUUUCCAGGCAA